AGAAAGAAGAAGAGAAGAGAAGAAACUAGAGAGGGAGAAGGCCACGGUUUUGGGAGGAAAAAAGAGCAAAAAUCGGACAGCAAGCUGCCACGACGAUUCAGCGAGCCAAAAAAAGUUCCGAGGCGCGAUUUCGGCAAGUUCUAGCCAAUUUCGGGAAAGGUGCUAAGGACAUGGUUGGGAAUUCGGAUAGGGCACAUUAUAGGGGAGGUGCUGUCCGAUUUCCGUUAACGCCUUAACUAGUUAAGGAACUAGUCGAGAAUGCGAACGAGGGGAUGAGUUCUAGGAAUACUCGUGUGUAACCUAAGGAGCUGAAAAGUCUAAGGUUGUUAAUACUCGUAUUGCUUUCGUGUUACCUAGGUUCAAAGGACGACGAGGCGAACGGGAUAAAGAGUAACCCGUAAGAGGUAUGUAAAGCUAUCUUCUUUUCUCUUGGCAUGUCUUAGCCUUAAGUGAUUGAUAAACGGAAUGUGGGGAUAAUUCCAUUCAUAGAACUCCAAGUAUGAAUCAUAAGUCUUAUUUACUCCUCGAUGGUAGAAUUCCUAUACUAGUUGAGUUAUUGCCUCUCAAGGAUUAUAUACGAUGGAGAGUAGCAAGUAUGUGAAGCUACCUUUCCUUCUUUUGGCAUGUUUUGGCAUAAGUAUGUAAAGCUACCCUUCUUCUCUCUUGAUAUGCCCUUGACAUAAGUUAUGAUGUUAUGAUGAAAUGUUUAUGGUACCGAGUCCCUUAAUAGGCCAAGUAUGAUAUAUGUUACUAUCUAAGGAUCGGGCCGUACGUUCCACGGCACAUAUGUAUAUAAUGAUUUUAUGAGGAAAAGUAGAGGGUAUGUAAAGCUUAUUCUCUUUCUUCUUUUGGCAUGGCCCAUAGAAAGCCACGGACGAAGAAUGCGCAAAGUCCACAAGAAGCUCUUAUUCUUAAGUACACUAAGAUGGCUAACGUUUUUAAUUUCCUAGAACUUAUGUCCUUUUGCCUCGAUUCAUGUGAAAGUAUUCAACCAUCCUAAGUCGGUAUAAUUUAGGUUGUGGUAUAAAUCAUGACUCCUAUUCACUCCUUUAAGCUAGAACUCUUCCAAUAAUUGAACUAUGUCUUCUCAAGUUUUUCUAUACCUUGGGAAGUAAUAAGUAGGUAAAGUUAAUCUUUUUUUUUGCAUGAACUUUAUGAAACAAAUAGACGAAGUAUGGGUGAUCCAAAGGAAGCCCCAUUCUCAAGGCCACUAAGAUGGCCAUUUUCAUAACUUCCAAAAGAUAUUUUAUUACGCUUUGAUACGAGUAGAUGACUCCAAAAGUGCUACUUUGAUGCAAGCCACAAGGACACUCCAAAGGUACUUGUUAUGGCUAUUGUCUUAAUUUUUGAGUGAUAGUUCAUUUUGAUUAUUUUAAUACGUCCCCGAUGAUGUUUUAAAUUGCAUAUGGUUACUUACUACUUCAUUCGGGUAUACUGUAAUACAUCUUUCACCGAGUCUCGAGCCGACUAUAAUAUAAUUAUAUGAUAUACGGAUCGGGCCGAACGUUCCUCGGCAUUACUAUAUAAUAUAUGAAUCGGGACGAACGUUCCUCGGCAUUACUAUAUAAUAUAUGGAUCGGGCCGAACGUUCCUCGGCAUUACUAUAUAAUAUCUGGAUCGGGCCGAACGUUCCUCGACAUUACUAUAUGAUAUCUGGAUUGGGCCGAAUGUUCCUCGGCAUUACUAUAUGAUAUCUGAAUCGGGCCGAACGUUCCUCGGCAUUACUAUAUGAUAUAUGGAUCGGGCCGAACGUUCUUCGGCAUUACUAUAUGAUAUAUGGAUCGGGCCGAACGUUCCUCGGCAUUACUAUAUGAUAAAUGGAUCGGGCUGUACAUUCCUAGGCAUUAUUAUAUGGCACUAAUAGUACAUAGAUGCUUAUGAUAACAGAGUGAUGUGGUUGUUACACCGGAUCCCCGAACGGACCGGGUAUAGUAUGUGAUGAUAGUAUGUACGACUUUAUUUUAUGAGAUGCAAGUACAGUGGGUUGUUGAAUGUUAUACUUGCCCCCUCCAACCCUAUGUUAGUUGUGCCCUCCUUUUGAUGUUUUAUACUUAUAUACUCAGUACAUAUGUCGUAUUGACCCCCUCUUUCCGGAGGGGGCUACGUUUCAUGCCAACAGGUACAGGUGCGCGCUUUGGGGUUCCGCUAGCUUAGGAUUCCACCUAGAAAAUUUGGAAGAAGCUCCAUUGAAUCGGAGCCGAGCUUUGGUACUAAACCUUUUAUGUAUAUAUUUACUUGAUUACGGGUACGGUGGGGGCCCUGUCCCACCUUAUGUUACUUUUCUUACUCUUAGAGGUCUGUAGACAUAUAUGUGGGUUGUAUAUGUAUAUGUGAACAGUUCUGCCUAUAUGUUACGAUAGCCUCGUCGACUUAUAUAUUGUCUUGCCUGUUGGC